rnacentral:rRNA from 1 species
AUUGAACGCUGGCGGCAUGCCUUACACAUGCAAGUCGAACGGCAGCACGGGAGCAAUCCUGGUGGCGAGUGGCGAACGGGUGAGUAAUAUAUCGGAACGUGCCCAGUCGUGGGGGAUAACGUAGCGAAAGCUACGCUAAUACCGCAUACGGUCUAUGGAUGAAAGCGGGGGAUCGCAAGACCUCGCGCGAUUGGAGCGGCCGAUAUCAGAUUAGGUAGUUGGUGGGGUAAAGGCUCACCAAGCCGACGAUCUGUAGCUGGUCUGAGAGGACGACCAGCCACACUGGGACUGAGACACGGCCCAGACUCCUACGGGAGGCAGCAGUGGGGAAUUUUGGACAAUGGGCGCAAGCCUGAUCCAGCAAUGCCGCGUGCAGGAUGAAGGCCUUCGGGUUGUAAACUGCUUUUGUACGGAGCGAGAAGGCUCUCUCUAAUACAGGGGGCUCAUGACGGUACCGUAAGAAUAAGCACCGGCUAACUACGUGCCAGCCGCCGCGGUAA